UACGUAGGUCCCGAGCGUUGUCCGGAUUUAUUGGGCGUAAAGCGAGCGCAGGUGGUUUAUUAAGUCUGGUGUAAAAGGCAGUGGCUCAACCAUUGUAUGCAUUGGAAACUGGUAGACCUGAGUGCAGGAGAGGAGUGGAAUUCCAUGUGUAGCGGUGAAAUGCGUAGAUAUAUGGAGGAACACCGGUGGCGAAAGCGGCUCUCUGGCCUGUAACUGACACUGAGGCUCGAAAGCGUGGGGAGCAAACAGG
rnacentral:rRNA from 1 species